GACGAACGCUGGCGGCGUGCUUAACACAUGCAAGUCGAACGGAAAGGCCCUGCUUUUGUGGGGUGCUCGAGUGGCGAACGGGUGAGUAACACGUGAGUAACCUGCCCUUGACUUUGGGAUAACUUCAGGAAACUGGGGCUAAUACCGGAUAAGAGCUCCUGCUGCAUGGUGGGGGUUGGAAAGUUUCGGUGGUUUGGGAUGGACUGGCGGCUUAUUAGUUUGUUGGUGGGGUAGUGGCUUACCAAGGCUUUGACGGGUAGCCGGCAUGAGAGGGUGACCGGCCACAUUGGGACUGCGAUACGGCGCAGAAUCCUACGGGAGGCAGCAGUGGGAAAUAUUACAGAAUGGGCGGGAGCGAGAGACAGCGACGCCGCGUGCGGGAUGACGGGCUGUGAGUGGUGAACCGCUUUCGCCGGUGAAGAAGCGUAAGGGACGGUAAUGGGUAAAGAAGCACCGGCUAACUACGUG
rnacentral:rRNA from 1 species